rnacentral:lncRNA from 1 species
GGAUUACUAUGAGCAUCAUCAUCGUUCCCUUUCCAAAGACAACUCCUAAUUCGAUCAAUGGCAUUAAUAACAGCAGCCAACAACUUGAGAGUGGACAUCACAAAGAUUGGCAUAGCAGAGAAGGUGGAGUUUACCAGAGUCACUCUUCCUGCCAGAGAGAGCCAGAGGCUGGUUGAAUUCAAUCUUCUUUCGAUUUUGUUGAUGAGUGGGAGAUAAGCUUUAACUCUUGGCUUUGUUAUUCCUAAUGGGAGGCCCAGAUAAGUGAAAGGGCAAGUUCCAAUCUGACAACCGAAGACUGUCGUCAAGUGAACUGCUUUUUGUUGAUCCUAAUUGAUGGGCAGGAGACAUGAUUUGUCAAAGUUAAUCUUAAGCUCUGUAGAAGCUGAAAAAGAGUGAAUGAUUCCUUUUAAGCAAAACAGACCCCUUUGGAAAGAUUUCAUAAUAAUUAAGGUGCCAUCUGCAUAUUGAAUGAUUGGGAAGUCAGAUGAACUGCUGUUGAUAAUGUAAGUAGGGGGACUCUAACUCUCAUUAAGAGGAUGACACUAUAAGUUGGGGCAAUUUUCUGUUUAUUUCCUCAAACACUACACAAUGUCAUACCCAUCUAAGGGUUGGAGACCCAUAUUUAUAGCCCUAGAGGCUGCACUACCACACCUUCUCACACAUACUACACAACAGGAUUGUCCUCUAGAUGCUAAAGAGACUACAGAGGACAGUCAAAAGCGACUGUUGUCCUCUAGAUGCUAAAACGACUACAGAGGACAGUCAAAAAGCGACUGUUGUCCUCUAGAUGCUAAAGAGACUACAGAGGACAGUCAAGCUGUCCUCUAGAUGCUAAAGGACUACAGAGGACAGUCAAAAGCGACUGUUGUCCUCUAGAUGCUCAAGACUUAUUCCAUCAUUCUCCCCCUAAGUCUUGGGCGGCGUCUUGUGAGAAAGUUGGGUCAUCCCGGACCUGGAGCAAAGCUCAACAAACUUGAUCUUCCCAAGGGGCUUGGUGAGCAGGUCUGCAAGCUGAUCCUUAGUGUUGAUGUAAUGCGCCAUGAUGCUCCCUUCUGCCAAGCAGUCUCGGAUGAAGUGGUCUCUCAGCCGGAUGUGCUUGCUCCGUUCAUGGAACACGGGGUUCUUGGCCAAUGCCAGAGCGGACUGGCUGUCCACCCUGAGUUCCACCGCUCCAGUGUCUCUCCCGAGGAGAUCACCGAGCAGUCGAGCCAGCCAGAGCACCUGAGUCGAAGCAGUGGACGCCGCUAUAUACUCUGCCUCGCAGCUGGACAUGGCCACCACCUGCUGCUUGACCGACUGCCAACUAAUGAGGCACUUGCCGAGGAAGAAGAGGAUCCCGCUUGUGCUCUUGCUAGUGUCGAUGUCACCGGCGUGGUCGUUGUCGCUGUACCCGACAAGGUGUGCCUCCCCAGGGCACCUCGGGUAGUAGAGACCGUGGUCGAGAGUCCCCGCAACAUAGCGUAUGAUCCUCUUCACAGCCUGCUCAUGCUCCGUCGUCGGUCGCUGCAAGAACCGACUAACGUAGCCGACGGAGUAUGCCAAGUCAGGCCGUGUGUGGACGAGGUAGCGAAGGCUCCCCACAAGACGCCGGUAUUGUGUAGCAUCCACCUCCUCCGUCGUGCUGUCGCGACUCAGCUUCAGCCUCUCCUCCAUCGGAGUGAGAGCUGGGUUGCAGUCGGUGAGCCCAGCCAGCUCAACAAUGCGCUUGGCGUAGGCGGUCUGGCGAAGUGUGACCCCGGAGUCUCCCUGGUGCACCUCAAUCCCCAGGUAGAAGGAGAGAUGCCCCAGGUCACUCAUUUGGAAGCUGGCCUUCAUCUCUUCCUUGAACGCUGCCACCUCUGCAUCCUUGGCGCCGGUGAUCACCAAGUCAUCGACGUAGACACCCACCAGCAGGGCACUUCCUCCAUUGCCCCGCCGAUAGAUGGCCGCCUCGUGCGGGCUUGGCGUGAAACCCAUUCCUUUGAGCGUGGAAUCCAGCUUGGCAUUCCACGCCCUCGGUGCCUGUCGCAGGCCAUAGAGAGCCUUGCGCAGGCGCAACACCUUGCCCUCCUUGCCAGGGAUCGCAAAACCUAGCGGCUGGUGUACGUAGACCUCCUCCUUUAAGUCGCCGUUAAGAAACGCCGACUUGACGUCCAUGUGAUGAACGUGCCAGCCCUGCUGGGCUGACAGCACAAGGAGGAGUCGCACGGAUUCCAUCCGUGCCACGGGGGCGAAAGCAUCGUCGAAGUCGAUCCCCUCCUGCUGUAGGAAACCGCGUGCCACCAAGCGAGCCUUGUGCUUGACGAUGGUGCCGGCUUCAUCCCUCUUCAAUUUGAACACCCAUUUAAGGGUGAUCGCGCGAUGACCAUGAGGGAGAUCAGCGAGCUCCCAGGUGCGGUUCGUCUCAACCGCGUCCAUCUUCGACUGCAUCGCGGCACGCCAAGCCGCAUGUUUAUCGGCCUCCGCGAAAGACCGAGACUCACCAUCGUCGCAUGCAAGAUGCAACUCUCCUGCCAGAAUGCGAGAUGCAGGGCCUGGCACCGACGGGUCGAUGAGAAGGCUCUCCACCCUUCGAUACCGCAACAGCUCGCCGUCGUAGCACGCGUCGACGCGCUCCUCGUCGCGGGACAGAGGGGUCACGAGCUCCACUGGGUCGUGCUCGACACGAGCUGGUGUCGGAGAAGACGUUCCCGGAGAGGGUACCGUCGGUGCUGGAGUACGUGGUGGCGAAGAGCUCGCUGUAGCCGGAGUCGUGGCUGGAGUGCGUGGUGGUGAAGAGCUCGUUGUAGCAGGAGCUGGAGAGUUUGGCGCUGGAGUCGGUGGAGACUUGGGGGCUGGGGUAGACCUGCUCGGAGAAGAGUUGCCUACUCCCCCAGCUCCCUCAAAGUGGACGUACUCGAUGGUGAAGUCGUACGUCGAAGUCGCGUCGUCGUCCACCGCCUUGUCCCACGCCCAUCCUCGCCCUUCGUCGAACACUACGUCGCGCGCCGUGCGCACACGCUGUGUUCUUGGGUCAAGGAUGUUGUAGGCCUUCGAGCCCUCCGCGUAGCCAAUGAACACCCCCGGGGUGCUCGUUGCUGAUGUGGCCAAGCUCCUUGGUGAAUGCGAGGCAGCCGAAGACCCGUAGGUGAGAGACCGCCGGCUUGCGCCCAUGCCAAGCCUCCUACUCCCCCAGCUCCCUCAAAGUGGACGUACUCGAUGGUGAAGUCGUACGUCGAAGUCGCGCCGUCGUCCACCGCCUUGUCCCACGCCCAUCCUCGCCCUUCGUCGAACACUACGUCGCGCGCCGUGCGCACACGCUGUGUUCUUGGGUCAAGGAUGUUGUAGGCCUUCGAGCCCUCCGCGUAGCCAAUGAACACCCCCGGGGUGCUCGUUGCUGAUGUGGCCAAGCUCCUUGGUGAAUGCGAGGCAGCCGAAGACCCGUAGGUGAGAGACCGCCGGCUUGCGCCCAUGCCAAGCCUCGUACGGUGUCAUCCCGUUGAGAGCCUUGGUGGGCGAGCGGUUGAGGAUGUAAACCGCUGUCACCACCGCCUCUCCCCAGAAGACAGCUGGCAUUCCUCUCUGCUUGAGGAGAGCCCGAGCCAUCCCCACAAUCGUCUGGUUGCGCCGCUCGACGACGCCGUUCUGCUGCGGGCUGUAUGGCGCGGAGUAGUGGCGCUGAACGCCCUCAUCCGCGCAGUACGACGCGAACUCAGCCGCCGUGAAUUCGCCGCCGUUGUCGGUGCGCAGCACGCGCAGCUUGCGGCCGCACUCCGCCUCCGCAGCGACCUACACACGCCUGAUGGCGUUCGCAGCCUCUCCCUUGCUGCCAAGGAUCAUCACAUGUAGCGGGAGAGAUCGUCGAUGAGCAGCAAGAAGUAGCGUCGUCCUCCUGGUGUGGCUGGUGUCACCGGGCCACACAAGUCCCCAUGCACGAGCUCGAGCCUCUCCUUGGCUCGGAAGCUCGACUGCUGGGGAAAGGGGAGCCGUCUCUGCUUUGUCAACACGCAGACAUCGCAGAAUUGUUCCACAUAGUCAAGGCACGGCAGGCCUCGUACCAUCUCCUUAGCACUGAGCCGCUUCAGGGCCUCGAAGUUAAGGUGCCCGAAGCGCUCGUGCCACUUCCAUGCCCCGUCGUCUCGACGAGCAGCAAGGUAGCAAGGUUGCGCGACCUUCACAUUGAGGAUGUAUAGCCGAUUUGGACUCCUGUGUACCUUGGCAAGAAGGCGACGAGAGGGAUCCCAGAUCCUCAUGACUCCGUGCUCGACCUCCACGCGCGAACCGUUCUCAUCCAGUUGUCCCAAGCUGAUGAUAGAGUUCCUCAACGCGGGGAUGUAGUAGACUCCGGUGAGCAGCCUGUGCUCACCAGACGCGGCGGUGAAGACGACUGAGCCGGCGCCCUUGAUCUCUACGCCAGAGGCGUCCCCAAACUUGACGGAGCCUCGGACGCUAGAGUCAAGCUCGGUGAAGAAGUCCCGUCGGCCGGUCAUGUGAUGAGUGGCGCCGGUGUCGAGGCACCAUCCUUCGAUCAUGUCCUUGUUGGAGCCGUCGCCGAGGAAAGCGCGUGCUUUCGACUCAUCAAGGUGGAGGAGUGCCGCUGCGGCCGGUGCCGCUGGAGAUGGCUCGAUGCUUGCAUGUGCCAGGAGCAGGGCCUCCUCCUCCGCCUCCGCCAGUGCGACGUUGGCCUGGCCACGUCGUGGCUGCCGACAAUCCCUGGCCCAGUGGCCAAGCUUGCCGCAGUUGUGGCAGCCGUCGUCUCGUGCCGGCUUCUUGUUGCCGACGGCGCCGCCUUGGGCACCUCCACGUGCACCACCCUCAGCAUGUCCUCGCGCCCCGGCCUGGGCGCCUCCACGCGCCUUGCGCGGCUUGCCGCGUUUGCGGCCUCGUGUCGAGGAGGACUCCCCCUUCUUCUUGUCACCCUGGUAGGCCUCCCACUGCUCCCGAGUGAGAUGUAGCUUCCCGCCGAUAGUGAUAGGCCCAGAGAGAGCCUGUGGUUCGUCGCCGUCGACCACCUUGAGGCGACCAAUCGCCUCUUCGAUCGUCAUUGUGGAGAGGUCUAGCAGAGACUCCAUCGAGCGAGCAAUCUGCCUGUACUUCUCGGGGAUGCAACAGAAGAGCUUCUUAACAGCUCUCUCCUCAUCGUAGGUGUCGUCGCCAAACUGCACCAUCUUCUGCAAUAGAGUGUUGAGGCGGAGAGCAAAGUCAUCAACAUCAUCACCUGGCUUGAAGGCCAGGUUCUCCCACUCCUUGCGAAGUGCCUGCAGUGUGGUCUUGCGGGCACGAUCGCUGCCGAUGCGGGUCGCAGCGAUGGUGUCCCAGGCCUCCUUGGCAGUCCGCUUCUGGGAAAGCGAAAACUGCAUCUCGGGCGGGACUGCAGCAAUGAGGGCAUCCAGCGCCCGCCGAUCCUCGUGGUAGUUGACGUCGUCGUAACGAACUGCUUCCCACAUGUGGCGAACCUGGAGCCGUACCCUCAUCACCGCGGCCCACUCGACGUAGUUGGUCUUGGUGAGGGUAGGCCACCCACCGCCGGGACCGAUGUCCCUGACAAUGGCCUGGGCCAUGCGGCGACCAUGGUACCGAUCCGGGGAGGGAGAACCGCGCCGCCUGUAGAGGCCGCGAUCUCCGUCGACUCGGUCGCCGCCGCCGAGAGCUCAGCCGGCGCGUCUACGCCCGUCUGGGCUGCCGCCGCGUGCGCCCCCGCCUGGAGCGCCGUCAGCGCGUCGGCGCCUAUCCGGGCUGCCGCCACACGCGCCCCCAUGGGGAUGCGCGGCUGCCCACUGUGUCGCCUGCUCUCGCGCUGCUUCCCUCGCCAGCCUGAGCUCUUCGUCGGUGUUGUCGUCGACAGAAGCAGAGCUGCCAGCUCUACUGCCGCGCAGAACCUCGAGCUCUGUUGCCGCCGCACGUGCAGCAUCCGCCGCCUCCGCUGCUUCUACUUCCGCUCUCGCCGCUGCCAGUUCCGCCGCCGCCAACCGUGCUGCCCUCGCCGUUGUCGUUGCAGCCGCUGCUGCUGCUCGCUCGCGUUCUUGUGCCGCGGCGACCUCGGCCUCCUGCUGGCGCCGCACACUCGAAGUGGCCGAGCGUAGGGACAUGGUGGGCUAGUGAGGGGUCGCUGCGUGUGGAAGAGGCUGUCUCAGACGAAAGGCUGCUCGUCUGAACAGGAGAGGAAGGAACAGUUGGAGCUCUUGCUGCCGACUGAGUGUGGGGAGAGGCGCGGGAAGGAGAUGAGCAAGAGAUGUUUAGGCUGCAGGAUAGUUUGGCUUUGAUACCAAUUGUAAAUAGGAGGACUCUAACUCUCAUCAAGAGGAUGACACUAUGAGUUGGGACAAUUUUCUGUUUAUUUCCUCAAACACUACACAAUGUCAUACUCAUCUAAGGGUUGGAGACCCAUAUUUAUAGCCCUAGAGGCUGCACUACCACACCUUCUCACACAUACUACACAACAGGAUUGUCUUCUAGAUGCUAAAGAGACUACAGAGGACAGUCAAAAGCGACUGUUGUCCUCUAGAUGCUAAAGCGACUACAGAGGACAGUCAAAAAGCGACUGCAGUCCUCUAGAUGCUAAAGAGACUACAGAGGACAGUCAAGCUGUCCUCUAGAUGCUAAAGGACUACAGAGGACAGUCAAAAGCGACUGUUGUCCUCUAGAUGCUCAAGACUUAUUCCAUCAGAUAAUAGAGGCCGAGAAGACACCAAGAGGCUUCUCUAUUGAUGAUGCACUGAAGAAGAUCAGCGGCUAUGACAAAGAGAAGGGGGGAGAGGGGAUCACCCUGCCGGACCCCUCUCUUGCAUUUAAACUUUUUCCUAGGACACCAUUCAAGAGAACAUUCGAGGAACCUGAACACAAUAUUGACUCGAUCUAACGAGUCCAUUUAUCGGGAAGCCAAGAGAUCUAUGCAUUGCAAUAAUGGCAUUAUGCUCAAUAUUAUCAAAGGAUUUAGUAAAAUCAAGCUUCAAGACAACUACUUCUUUCUUCGAAUGGUGGCAUUGAUGAAUGUAUUCGUAGGUACAGACCACACAGUCCUGAAUGGACCUGCUCAUGAUAAACCCAUAUUGAUUUUUAUGAAUGAGCCUUUGAAUUAGAGGCUGGAGUCUGUUGGCAUGUAACUUGGAGAUCAUCUUUAUGACUAUAUUGAGCAGGGAGAUUGGUCUAAAGUCAUUAACCCUAACCGGGUUGUUCACUUGGGGAAUCAGACUGAUGUAAGAACUGUUGAGACCUUCUAGGUUCAGAGAGUUGUCAAAGAAAUCCUUGCAAAGAUCGUAAAAGUCACUCUUGACAAGAUGCCAACAGGAUUUCAGAAAGUUCCCAUUGAAGCCAUCGGGGCCGGGAGCUUUAUCAGCAGACAAAUUCCGAACGAUGUUAUCAAUUUUAGUAGAGGAGAAAGGCAGGACCAGAGAAUCAAGGCCCUCCACACGCUGAACCAAGGUUUCAAUGUUGAAAAGCAUAGAGGGAGUGGCAAAGACUCCCAUCCUUUCCUUGAAAUCUUUCCAGAGAUGGGCAGCUUUUUCACCAUGCCCAGAGAUAGUGACUCCCUCAUCAUUGGUGAGGGUAGCAAUUAGGUUAUGUUUGUAUCUAUUUGUUGCAGCUGCGUGGAAGAACUUAGUGCAUUAAUCCCCUAGCUUAACCCAUCUUUCCGUGUAUCUUUGUUUCCAAUAAGCAUUUUGAUAUUUCAAGAGCCUGAUCAACUGCUUUUUGAUAAGAAUCCUCAAUUCCUCAUAUUGCUUUCUUGGAGAAAGAGAGUUCUUUGUUCCUCUAACUUAUCCAAAACAAGAAUGACUUCAUCGCAAUUAUUAAUGAGGCUUAUGAGGUUAGAGAUAGAUCUGCUCCAUUUCUUAAGAUCAUACUUGAGAUUUUUAAACUUCGCCACCAUACGCGCAGCACUAGAGGCUGCGACCAGUUGCUUGUUCCAA